GUGCUCGCUUCGGCAGCACAUAUACUAAAAUGGGAAUGAUGCAGAGAAGAUUAGUGUGGCCCCCGCGCAAGGACGACACGCAAAGUCGUGAAGCGUUCCAUGUUUAA
ensembl:snRNA U6 U6 spliceosomal RNA